rnacentral:lncRNA from 1 species
CAUAAUAACGAUGACCACUUGGACACUCCAAGUGGUCGGACGAAGUCAAACUAUCAAAGUCAGGACCUGUAGAGUGCUUUACUUUCCCCUUCUUCCCCGGCUUGUCCCCGUCCCAGUCUUCUCUAUUUUAGACUUUAAACAACCACAUCCAUAACCCAAUUUCAUCUUCCCAAAUCCAAAUUUUGUUGGUAUGUUUUCCCUCUCUCCUUCUCUCCUCACUUGUUUAUUUGUUACGCUAGUUCACACUUUUUCUUUCUAUUUUUUUUUUGUAUUUUUCUAUUUUGUCCAAUCGAUUUUCACUGUUGUUUGAUUCAUCUUCUUAUUUUUGCAUUUUUCUUUAUAAUUGUCUGAUGAGUCUUUUAUUCUUUUUUCACUUUUCUAGUUGAUUUUUGAUCGGAUCCGAAUUGAUCUAGGAUGGAUCAGAUGACUCGUCCAUUUUUGGACAACUCAGAGAUGAUUCAAUUCAAGUCGACUGAGUUUGUCAGAGUUCUCGGCAAGUCUUCCGUCACCGUGGCAACGUGGACUGGGCACGGGCCGGAGUCCUCCAAUCUAGUGAUGACUCGGUCAGAUCUUUGAACCAUGACUAUGCUAUGUUUAAUGUAAUUUUUUCCAACAGUGCACAUUUCAUGGAAUGAAAUAUUAUAUUUUAUCAAAAAAUAAAUAUUGAUUUGUAGUCACGUUUCAUUCUAUAGUUGUUCAUCUUCUAAGUAGGGAGGACAAAUAGUAGAUUAAGUCAUGUAAUUGGAUAUAUAGUUUGGUAGAGCCAUACAGGAGCGCACGAAACAGGCCCCCGAAACAAAGAUAAUUUGUAGCUCGUUAUUAUAUACAGGACAUGCAAUUAGUGCAACUUAAGUUGAUCCAAGGUGGGUUUCUGAUUAAGUCUGGAACUUCGUUGCACUUGCACAUAUUCCAUGUACUUCAUUGGACCAUAAGCGGCUGGAGUUUCACGCAGUAGCUGUGGAGCAGGGGUGACAAUGGUGUCGGGUGAUGGACCGUUGGCCACCACCAAGGACAUUCUUGUCUUUUUGUUAUUCAAAACAGCUCUGUGCCAAACGCUCUUGUACUUUCCGUUGCUCAUUAUCUGGUAACGACAAAUGAAAUUCACAAGUAAAAAAUCAGUCUUUUCUUUCUGAUUGAUUCACGUGGUACUUAAUUUUUUCCUUAAAUAUAUGUCUACAUGUUUAAACUAUAUACAUAUAUAUAUAUAUAUAUAUAUAUAUAUAUAGUUCAAACUUACCUCGAGCUGGUCCGCAGUGUUGACAAAAAUGGCGCCUGGAAUGCCAGUAAGCUGAAACCACUUUCCCUUAUUCUGUAUCUCAAGGCCUUCUACUCCAUUCUGAAGGAGAAAGGUCAAGAGGCCAGGAUCUGUGUGGGGUGGAAUGCCUAUUGCUAAUUCAGGCUGAGGACAGGGAGGAUAGUAGUUUGCGGCAAAGAUUUGAGUACUUGAGUCCAAUUCCAUGGCUUUCUCAAUAUAAUCUUCUUCCAGGCCAAGGCUUUGUGAUAUCCCUCCAAGUAAUUUCUUUGCCAAAUCUCGGGUUCUCCGAGAAUAUUCCAGGACAAUAUCACUACAAUAAUAGUGGAGCCGAGGAUUUUUUUUAUUAGCAAAAAAUUAGUGUAGUAAUACGAGUGCAACGAUACAUUAGUCUAAUGACUAAAAUUGAAACUCCACAAUUUAGAGAUUUUGAAUUUGAAUCUUAUUUUCUCUAUUCUCAUUUCUUAAAUCCCACACCCCCGCUAAAAUGAACUAAGAAGAAAAAACUAGUGUAGUUGUACAAGCACUUGAUAUGGCUCACAUUCACGGACACCCGGAAUAUACUACAUGCUUGAUGAGCAAAGAGCCCAAAAAACUUUGUUAAUCUAUCGGAGGUUGAUCAAAUGUUAGAAAUGAAUCGUUGAAGGAUCAUAAUCUAGGAAUGAAAUUUACAUUUCCAUCUUCCAUUCACCAUCAUCCCAAGCAACGGGAGGCUAAGUGUUCUGAAGUUGAACAAAUUAUCAAGUGCAGCCAGCAAACUGCUUUCUUGAUGCAUAAUGAGCGCGUUUACAUAUAUUAUUAAGAGUAGAAAGAAGGAACAUCUCUACCUCAACGCUUUGGGUUUAGUGGGACAGUGAUACUCUGGAUGCACGAAAAACCUCAAAUAAUCCCUCCAUAACUUGACUUUCUGGUUGCAAUCAUUGCCAUCAAUGGUGCCAGAUCUGACCAUGACUGGAUAUAAAGGAUGUUUGUUUUCGAACUGCAACUUCUCCUUCUCUGGCAUAUCGAAAAACUCAUUACACACAUUAAACAAUGCGCUGAUUAGGUUUUCCGGUAUGCCAUGAUUUACCACCUGCAUGGAUGGAUACUCAUGCACGUCAACCAAACGUUGUAAAACCAUAACUAGCAUAUGCAAAGAGCAUUGGUACAACAAGCACAACUCUCAGAAGAAAGCAUUCGUUUGGAUAUUAAUUCUUAAGGAGCAUGCAUGCAUGCAUACAUACACACAUACAUAUAAAGCUAGAUUCUCGAUUAAUGCUAAUGAGUUCAAUGGAGAAGAAAGUUGGUUGAUUACCAAGAAGAAGCCCCAUUCCUCGCAGGCUUUACCAAGGUCUAGGAUGACUUUGGCACGUUCAUCAGGAUCUGUUGAGCUGAGCAGCGAAAAGUCAAUGACGGGAACUGAAACUUCAGGUCCCGUUCGGAUGGAUUCUUGGGUAUCCUUAAAAUGAGCAAAUUCAGAAGGGAGGGACUUGAGGUCUUGUGAUUGAACAAGGGUUUUAAUACUUGCCAUUUUUCUGGAUGGUAGCUAUUGGCAAGAAAAGCUGGAAUAAUGGCAAUUGAGAUGGGGAGAUUUGAGUGUGAGUGGCAGGCAUGAAUGGAGAAUGUGUACCUAUUUAUACAGUGUCAAGCGCUCCAGCAAUUUGACUCUCAAGCGUGCAGGAUUUUGGAAAGUCCCUGAGACAGGAGAACAUGACACCUGCCUAGUCAAUAACGGAGCACAACACCUCCCUAGUCAGCAAUUCCCACUUUUCACUUUUCAGCUUUGAGCACUAAGGUUCAUCUAGAAUUCUAGACAUUGAUAAUUAUAGAUGGCCGAGACGGAAGGUUACUUAACAAAGAAAAAACUGCUAAAAAUUUUGUAGGGAAUCAGAGACAAUGAGCUCACUUGUAUGAUGUAUCCUAGUAGCUGCGGGUCUUUUGGUUAUAAUGGUGUGAUAGUUGAUCAAACUCAAGAAAAUAUCGUAUCGAUCAUUUCCUUUAAGAGUUUUGUUUCUUUACUUUGUCACUAUAAGGGCCUUUUUUUUUUUGACCUGCCAUCCUUCUCCGUAUUAUUUCUACUUCCAACCGUCAAAUCUAGGAUACCUGGUAGGGAAGAGAGCGUUAGGAGUUUUUUUCUGACCGGUGGACCAAUCCCGGUGGUUAGGAGGACUUUCUUGGUUUAGUGACAAGGAUAGAAUGCUUGGGUCUCUCAUUCUCCUUAGACGUGGCUUUUUUUCCUCCUGGCAUUGCCGGGGUCAUCAAGCUGGUAGAAGUAAUUUUACUAGUUUCAUCUACCUUAGACGUCACAUUCUUUCUUUUGCCGGGGUCGUCAAGCUGGUAGAAGAAAUUUUGUAAGGAACUGAGAUUGUAGAGCAAUUCUGGCCAACAAAGGCGUGCUUGAAUAUUGGGCUUUUUCUCCAAGCAAGAAAAACCAAAAAAUUGACAGCAUGAUCAACAGCUUUCAAAUCCUGUAUCUAUCACUCAUGUGUUGCGCUUCAGAAACUUGUAUGCUAUCGAAUUCCUUAAGAAAUUAAUAUAUUUAAACUCGUCUCAAAUUUCCAUGGCUCAAGAUAUUCUCGUUUCUUUCUUCAGAAUAUAAUAUAACAAAAGUUUAAAUGUAGUACAACUGAAUUAGAAUAUAGUGUAAUGAAAAUUAAAAUAAAUAUUUUGUCUCAAAAUAGAUAUAUACAACAAAAAAAAUAUAAAUAUACACAAAAUCAUGUAUAAUAUACAACAAUCACAUAAUUGUAUCCGAUUCCCCACUAUAUACGUCAAAGACUUAAAGUUGCUUUUCGUGCCUCCUGAUUUUGAAUUGGCAGGUCUCUGCGUAUACCCCUUCUAGAAGCAACCUAACUUUUUUAUUUGAGUUCAGAAGCAACAUAGCUCAAUAGCAGUACCGGUAAAAAUUCUACGAUUUGGUGUCCCAUUGCCAACUUUGAUCAAAGUAUGAACCCACCAUGUCCACGUCAAGUACACUAGAAGACUAUAGCUCCUCUGAUGAAAUCAAUUUAUUUGCUUUCACUUUCUAGGAUCAUACCGUCUUUACUGGUGCAUGAGCUGCCCACGUAUACGGUACACCUUCAAAUUAAAGAAUAUAAUUGGCGAACAUUUUCUAAACGCCUUCCAUCACCGGGCACCGACUGCAGUCCCUCAAACACAAAGGCCUUAAGAUCUAACGUCACUAUUUUCGGAGAAAAUUCUAAAUUCUCAAAAUAAAAAAAAUCAAGAGAAGAUCUAGUACACUUGUACCAUAUAAAUGAAGUAAUAAACGUUGGUCCUUGUAUUAGAUUUCCAUUUUUGUUUCCUAGCACCUACCGUUGUAGGUUUAUCAAUUUUUGUUUUAAAAAUCAUUCUAGCCCAGAAAAGUCAUCAAGUUUUUUCUUUUUCCUUUUUGGUAAAUCUUUUUCUUUCUAAAUGUCAUGAAGUCAUUAUAGUCUUCAAGACUAUUAUAUAUGCUCUAUGGAAAUGGAAAGGCAUAAAUCUAAGAUGUAAAGGACAAAAGGUUGGCGACAUAUUGGAUAGUGUCGAUGAAAGUAAUGGCAUAUGAAACAAAAAAGAAAAACACUAGCAAAGGCACAUGUUAUAAGAAUUAGACAAAACACAUACAAAGUUAAACAUGAAAACGGUGAUGAAUACAUUCAUCCUAGAUCCUUCUGCAUGAAGAGAACACCAUCAACUUCUUCUAAGAUGUCCCAUCCACUUAAUCUGACUUACUCAGAUUACCUCCAAAUAAUAGCCUCAGAAUAAAAGCAAAAUGAGGUACACAUCUUUCCGGAACAAGUUUCAUCGAAUGCCUUGAAAGCAAUAUUGAUGUGGAACACAUUGGUAGGACAUUUCAGGACAAAAUGGAUCGAGCAAAGGGAGGAAAGAAGCAUGUCACGUGCAGCUGACUUCAUCACCGGCACCAGACUUCGUGUGGUUGUUGUCUGACGAUAAUUGGUCUCAAAACCAGCGCCAUAUCCAACGUCGGCCAUUGUCCGUUUCAAUUUUUAUUUUUAAAUUCUUUUCCAUUUUGAUUGUAAUUUCAUAUCCUUUUUCAAUUAGACUUUGUUGCUUAUACAUAGGGAUGUAUUAAGGCUUUGUUUAUUAGACUUUUAUCAACUUUAAUAAAAUUAUCUUGGUUUUUGCCAAUUUCUCUCAAGUUCCUUCAAGAUUUAAGAUUCUUGUGAAUUUUCUCAAGAGUUGAUCAUGAAUCGCUCCUUUGUUUCCUUCGGGAAUCAUUUGUGAAAUAAUUUCUACCCGCUUUUGCAUCAGUUGGUACCAUAGCAGGUUUCUCCUAUUCCUAAAUUAUAUCAAUGGCUGUUAACAAAUCCAGUUAUGGAUCUUCUGUCUCUAAAACUGAAGUGCAGAUUCAAAAUGAACAUUUGGAUCAUUUGGAGUGUGUUUGCAACAAUUUCUGAAGUCAUUUCAAUGACUUUGAAACUCAUUUUACUUGUGUGCAAGGAGACCUUGACAUGCUGAUUCAACACUUGGGUUUGCCAGACAACUGGGGACAAAAUCAGCAAGGUGAUCGAGAUGGGAGAGUGCCUCUUGACCAGACCUCGUCAAUGUGAAACAACCAAAUCCAUGUAGAGAUCAGACCAAUGAUAAUCCUCAUAGAGACAAGGAAUAUAAGGGUGACUCGUCUGAGAACGGGAUAGUUCUUGCUUUUGGCUGCGAGAACUGCAAUCAAAGAGGUUUUCAACGUUGAUUGCUGGAACUAAAGGAAUUCAAGUUAAAGGUCAAUGUCCCAUGUUUCAAUGGUAACUUGGGCAUAGAGAACUGAUAAGUUUGUAUUUUGAGUGAUUUAAGUGUAUUUUAUUAUUUAGUUUUGGUCUGCUUUAGUCAUUUUUAUCGCUAAUUAAUUAGGUUUCUAGUGAAGUUUACAUUUUGUGAUUCAAAGUGUGAAAAAUUGCAUUUCUAUGAAUUAAAAUAAUAAAAACUUUAUAUUUUGUAGGUUUCAAUCAUUCAAUUAUCAAAUGGAAUUAAUUGAAAAGAUAUUUGGAUGUAUGCUGAUGAUUUAAAGAGAAUAUGAAGUGCAAAAUGAUCAUAAGAUGAAAUGCAAUCAAGUAUAAAAGAAAGGGAGUUUGACAGUUUUAACAUCUGUUGGUAUUUCGACUAUAUCUCGAGCUAUAAGUAUCAGAUUGAGGUAAUUCUUGAGACAUUUUGAAACUAACACGUAUCUCUAUAAUUAUUGUGAGAUAUCAAAAUCGUUCAUGAAUUUCCUAGUCAAAAUGUCAGAAUAUAGUUGGUCAUUUCUGUUGUCAAAAACUAAAACAAGGUUUUGACUAGUCAAAGUUAUUUUGGUAAUUUCUUAGUAUACAGAACUCCAAAUUGGAUUAUUCUUAAAGCGUUGGAAAGCUAACUCAAAGGUUACAACUUUCAUGUUUUAUACAAGAGCUAGUUCAGCUUCUAUCGUCAAAAAAAUAUCAGUGGAAUUUGGUGCAAAUAUGGAGCAAAGUUGAAGACUGAUUAGAAAUGAGAAAACCUGCACGAGAGGACAAUUCGUGACCCAAUACACGACCUUAGCCCAUGUUUUGAUGGUGCAUAUACGUAUUUUUGCUGCUUUACAGUUGGAAUUAGUUGCACUUCAACUUGCGGUUCUUUCCCACUACUUUUGAACCAAUUUUCUGAAUGGAUUUUAGCUGGAAAGUGAAAGAGGCAUUUUGAAAUUUUGGAGAAACAACUUUUGGGAAUCUCAAGACACAACUAGCACUAACUUUAACAACUCAUUUGUUGCUUGAAUUUCUCUAUAAAUAGGUGUCUUAGAGAACAUUUUUCAUAACUUUGGAAGGCUAAAGACACUACCAAAAAUGUAGUCUUCACUAGUUUUUCUUAGUUCAUUAGUAUAGUAUAAUUAGUGUAGUUUAUCUAUCUUGUAUUUGUAGCUAGAUUUGGAUGAAUAUUAAGGAACAAGAUGGAGAAUUGAAACUCAUGUGACAAAGGUGACUUCUCUCCUAUCACUUUCUUUUUUGUAUUUGAGUUCAUGUUUAACUAUAAUACAAGUAUGGUAUUUUCUUUCAUUCUCUUCAUGUUUUACUAAAGUUUAUGGCUUGAGUUAUGGAUGAACUUUCUAUAAUUUGUUAUUGAUGUUUAAUUGGUUAUUUGAUGAUAUUAUUUUGAACAAGUUAUUUAACACUUUUGCUUAUCUAAUCAUGAUUAACUGGCCAUUAAUUGUGAAAAUCUUAAGGUAUUAAGUUUGCAAUGAGAGUUGAAAUUUAACACUAGUUCAAGAAAGUGUUAAACGUAGGGAGUACACUCACAAGAGUAGAGGUGUAUUUAUGUGGCUUUAGUGACUUGUUUCAUCUAAUGUUAUAGAAGAAAUGAGGUUGUAAAUUAAUUUCAUAACCAUGAGAGUAGGUAUGACUUAGUUAUAAGUAUAGGUGAUUCACUAUGAGAGUAGGUUUCAUAUGUAUUAGGAAAUUACAUCGUAACGAGCCAAGAUAAUAACAUUCAAUUAACCGAUAAUUUCACUUGUAAGAGUAGUGAGACAUUCCAUAGCUCUAGGAGCUUUCUAUUGUUACUUUUAUUACUUUUGUUUCAUGUUUAUAGUGUAGAUUUAAUUUUUGCACUUGUAAUAGCUUAAAUAAUAAAGGAGUUCAAAAACCAUCGGUAAUUGACAAUCUUUCCUGUGGAUUCCACCCUUAAUAUCCUAUACUCAAUCACAACCUAUAUACUUGUAGAAAAUCGCAUGUGGGGUAUUUAAAAUUUUAGAAAUGCAAAGCUUGACUGUAAAAUGAGUUUAAUUAUUAUAUGCAUAUGCUCGCUCAUCACUAUUAAACAAGUACAAGGUCUUUAGUUUGCUCUAUUAUCUAGACUAAUAUCAAAUUAAAAGCAAUAAAAAGCAAUUAUUUCACUAAUUAAUAUUCUAAAUUAACUUGUAUAGAAAAAUAAAUGGAGAAAAUGCACCAAAACUAAAGUUUAAGGGUGUAGAAUCCAUUGUAAUGGUCUAAAAAUACAAGUAAAUAAAUUUACCUCUUUUUACUACUUUUUACUAACUAGGGAUUUAUUUCCAACAGUAAUCAAAACUCAUUCUCAUGAUGUAUGAUAUUAACUAGCCUAGUCUUCCUUAGUCUCAUGGUAAAGAUGUAAAUCUAGUUCAUUUAAUACAUGAAAUGUUCAAGCAAAUUAACUUAAUUGUACCUCUACAGAUAGGGUGUAAAUUGUAGUGUGUUUAUAGGUAAAAGUUGCUAGGUAACCAUGUUAUUUGAGCUUUAUUUUGUAUAGAAAUUACUUAAUUUUGCUUGUAUAUUGUUCUAAUAAGUGAAAAGCUCAGUUGAAGUGAAAAUGAAUAAAAAAACAUGGUAUGAAGAAGCAAUGAAAGAGGAAAAAAGUCAAGAGGAAUGGGUUUGGCAGGAUUGACACAUUUCAGUAUUUUGGUGAUAACUUAAGCUACACAAAUCUAAUUGAGAUGAUUCUUGAUUCAGUUCGAAGCUCUGAGAAUUCUUUAUGAGAUAUCAAAGUCUAAUUCUCAAGUUUUCAUAGUCAAAAAUCCAAAUUACUGAAGUCUAGUUGUGCUGUGAUGCUUUUGCAACCAGGUCUCAGUAUUUUAGGCAUAUCUCAGUGCCCAGACUUUUAAAUAACUUGAUUCUUGUGGUGUUGGAAAGUCUAUUCAAAGAACUACAACUUUUGUAUUUUUAGAAAGAAUUGAUUCUACCUAUUUGAUGGAGUUUUGAGGCUUUCAAAAGUGAUCCACGUGCUGACCGGUACGGAUCCACUGGCGGAUCCAUGUUCAGCGCCGGACUUCACAAAUGACUUCACGCCGAACAUCUCUAGACCCUUUUAUGCUUUGUGCUUAGUCCAAUGACCAGCACCAAACAUUGGCCUGGUCUUCAUCGCAUAAAUGUGCAAAAAUACGAUUUUUUGAGUCCAAUAGAGCCUAUUCCUACCCUGUUUAGGAUAUAUCUUCAAGAAACUAUAAAUAGGGGUUCUUUAGGUCAUUUUUAGGGUAAAAAACAUUAGUCUAUCCUAGUUUAACAUCUUUUUAUAAUUUAUUCUUGAGAGAUCAAGAUCAAAUGGAGGCGAAUCAAGGAGCGCGCAAAGAGAAGAUUGGAGCAAGUAACUGAGAAGUUUUCUUACUCUUUCUCUUAUCUUUGUAGCAACUUUUUGAAUUCGUGGUUUUAACCUCUAAAUCAUGUUGAACUAAAUUGUUCCUAGGGUUAGAAUUUUAAUGAAAGAAUUUGAUUAAUUUUUCUAGUUUAAUUUCUUGCCUUUUACUAUGAUUUAUUUAUCUUGUUCUUAAUGCGUGUUUAUGCCUGAUUACCAUGAACAUUAAUGUUGGGUUUGUAUCAAAUUGAGAAAAGAAAUACAACCGUGUACUAGACAGAUAAACACAUAGAGACUAAUCACGAGAGUAAGUUGGGGUAUGUGUGAUGCACCUAUGUCACUGGGAAUCUUAAUGGGUUCAAUUGAACUCUUAUAACCAUCAAGAGAGGCAUAGGAUUUAAUUAAACACACUUUAGAUGCAUCAAGAGGUGGUCUAAAAUAUAGUUGUGUGAUGCAUUCAUAACUUGGUAAGAAAUUAACUAGAUAAUUGAUUCAAAUUCUAAAUUAAACCUGAAACCCUAGACUCACGUCUAUUGUUUUCUCACCACUACUUUAUUUAAAUUGAUUGUUUCUUUUAUUGCUUAGAAAAUACACUCCUUAAAUUAUAAUUUUGUUAUUUUGUUAGAAUAAUUAAAGUAGAAAAUUAACUCAUCCAUGUGGGUUCGACCUUGAAAUACUCCAAGUAAAUUAUUACUACAAUUGACCCUAUGCAUUUGCAGGAAUUUGUCGAUCAAGCUUUUAGCACAGUUGCCAGGGAACGACGCUUAAUUUUUCUACUUUGGUAUUUUUUAUUUUAUUUUUUAUCUUAUUUUGCUUGUAGUUCUUCACUUUUAGUUUUGAUUUUUCUUGCUUAUGUGAUUGGUGUAUGACCCAAUUUCAAAAAGGCGAUUUGGAUUUUGAUCCAAAAAUUGAAAAAACUGCAAAGUAUUUGAGGAAGCAAACUCGCUUGCAAAAACAAACUUUGCAACUAUCUUUCACCAGGAUUUCAUAUUACCUUAGAAAUAGUUGAGUCAAGCAAUUCUGACGAUGAAGAAAUGGCUGAGGAAAACAGAAAUAAUGGCAAUAAUCAACAGUAGGUAGUGCAACCACCUGCAGGACUUCGCCUUUGGGACAUCCAACAUCUUGUAAUCAUGGCUUUUUCCCACUACAUCAAGCUAAGUGGUGAAGCAAGGAAUUAUGAGUUCAAAACUGUACACUUCAGCAUGUUGCCUGCUUUCCAUGGUUUAGCCAAUGAAGACCCGCUCUCUUUCAUAAGGAAAUUUUAUUUGGUUCUUCAAACUUUCCAUUUGAUUGGAGUCUCAGAAGAUGACUUACGAAUGAGGUGCUUCCCUUAUUGUCUCAAGGAUCGUGCAAAAUCUUGGUUAUUUCAUCUAGCUGAAAGAUCUUUGAGGGCAUGGGAAGAUAUUUAUAACAUCUUUAUGACCAAGUACUACUCACCUUAGAAGACCAUCGAUUUAAGAAACAAGAUUUGCAUAUUUUCUCAAAUAGAAGGAAAGCCAAUACAUGAAGUAUGGGAGCACUUUAAGCUACUAGUUUCUCAAUGUCCUCACUACCAAUAUUCAUUACUGCUGCAAGUGUAAUUUUUUUAUGAUGUGUUGACCUUAACAACCCAAAAUAUGGUGGAUAUUGCAGCAGGAGGGUAUAUUGGUGACAAAAUUCCGAAGGAAUUAGUUAGUCUCUAUGAAUUGUUUGCUAGCAGUUCUCAAUAAAAAGCAAUUUGAGGUAAGAGAGUAGGAGUGCAUGAGGUGAAUGUGCCACAGUAUUUGGGUUCACAGGUAGCUGAGUUGAGUCAUCAAAUGCAACAGCUCUUAAAUCGAGUAGCUCAAUCUCAAGAAUCAUGUGCUUAUUGUCACAUGUAUGGCCAUUCUGCUGCUAGUUGCUAUAAUAGAGAUCCUCCCACCAUGGUAGAAAAUGUUAAUUUCACUGAAGCAUAUGGUGGGCAGAAGUUUGUAGUUAAUGAAUGAUCCUUUUUCCACCACAUAUAAUGAAGGAUGGAGAAACCAUCUUAACUUUUCAUGGAAGGAUCAAGAGGUUAGGCCUAUGGGACCACCUGGGUUUCAAAAUUUGUAACAACCUUCUCAAUAUCCUCCUCAACCUACUCAGGAGAAGAAGUCCAAUGUUGAAGAAAUGAUGUUGUAGUACAUGCAAAAGGUAGACCAAAAGAUGAACCGGUUUGAUAAACUUGCUCAAUCUCAACAAACCUCCAUUCAAAUGAAAGGCAAGUUGGUUAGUUGGUAAAGGCAAUAACUAAAAGGGUACUAGGAAAAUUGCCUAACAGCACUAAGGUGAACCCAAAAGAAACUACUAUGGCUGUGACUCUUCGUUCAGGCAAAGUAUUGGAUGAUCCUAUCAUUAAACCCAAGACUAAACCAAGUGAAAAGCAAGAUAGGAGCAGAAUUGCUAUUGAAAGUGAAGGAAUUGGAGAUUCAGAGAAUGGCUCAUGCAAAAAGACUCAAGGUGAAGAUAAUCAAUGUAUGAAGGUGCUUAAGGUGAAAACUUAUGUGUCGCCCAUCCUUUUCCCCCAAAGAUUUAAGAAAAAGCAACUGACAAGCAAUAUCAAAAGUUUGUAGAGUUACUCAAGAAACUUCUAGUAAACAUGCCUUGUUCUAAAGUUCUUGCUAAUAUACCUGCUUAUGCAAAGUUCUUGAAGGAGAUAGUGUCUAAUACAAAGAAGUUAGAAGACUUUGCAGAGAUGUCUCUUAUUGAGGAAUGUAGUGCAGUGCUACAAAAUCAUCUUCCUAUCAAGAUGAAAGAUCUAGGGAGUUUUACUGUGCCUUGUCAAUUUGAACAUAUUCUUGUUGAUAAAUGUCUAUGUGACCUUGGAUCUAGUGUUAAUUUGAUGGCUCUACCAUUUUUCAAGAAAUUAAACUUUGCCAAUUUGGGGCCUACUCAAGUGAUUCUACAAUUGACUGAUCGUUCAGUGCAUUAUCCUAUUGGUAUUAUAGAAGAUCUAUUAGUUAAAUUCGAUAAAUUUUAUUUUUCUGCUGAUUUUCUUGUUCUUGACAUGGAGGAGGAUAUUUCUAUGCAAAUUAUCCUUGAUAGAGGAUUUUUAGCUACUGGAUGGGCUAAUAUAGACUUACUUGAAGGAAAAUUGACUUUAAGGGUUGGUAAAGAAAAAGAAGAAUUUAAUGUUUUUGAACCCUUAAAAUACCCUUCGUACGAGGAGUCUUGUUCCUAUAUUACUAUUUCUAACGAUUUGUAUGGUGAAAAAUAUGCAUUACAACAAGAUGUAGAGGUCACCCCCUUGCAAAAUCAUCAUGCAUAUUUUUCUUCAAUAGUUCAAAAGUACAAUGGAGAUGUGAAAAAUUAUGCAAAAUCGCAGGCACAUGCUAAGGAAAUUGUGAAAUCAUCCGAACCAUUUCAUCCACCAUAAUCAUUUGUGACCCUAUCUGGUUGAAAAUGUUAAACAUAGCGCUUCUCGGGAGACAACCCAAUUUUCUUUUUAAUUUCAUUUAAUAAUUUUCUUUGUUUAGGAUAAUGGUGGUGUUUAUUUGCUUACAAUUUUAUUGCUUUCUAGUUUGGGUUAUUUGGUGGUGUAUUGAACUCCUAUUUGUAGUGUUUUCUUGUCUUUUCAUAGGUUGGUAGGAUGGCUUCCUGAACUUGCCUAUUGAAUAGUAAUUAGCAACUUCUCGCACCCCACUUGAUCUUUGGCACUUCAUUUGUUAUCAGAGGAGCUUCACUUUCACCUCUUUUCUUGUUAUUAUUUCCUUAUUUUAUCCCCAACAUUGAGGACAAUGUUGUCUUAAGUGUGGAGGAGGAGUAAAUGGGUGAAGUAAAAUUUUUGAAAUUUUGGGCUAAAAUUUUUCAAAUUUUUAUUGUUGAGUCCCUGAUAGGCAAUGGCCUAUAUUUUGAGUAUUAUUGUUAAAGUGAUAUGUGUAUGAAUCUAUUAAGUCUUAAAUGAUAUUGAUUUAAAGUGCUUCUUUGGUGAAUAUUUGGUACUUUGAGACUUUUUAAAAUUUGGCUAACUUUUCUAGACAUUGUAAAUAUUUUUCAAAUAUUUUUCUUGUGAAUCUAGCCUAAUUAUUAAUUUUAGUUCUCCAUAUUAUUGGGAUAUGAAAUAGGCUUUUAUAUUCUUAUUUGUGCUUAUAUGCUUAUCUUGCUUAGUUGAAGUAUACUCCACUAGUUGUCGUUGCUCAGUAACCAGAGGUCUUCAACUAGAAGUGUCGACUUCGCGUCAAAAAGUGGCAAUAGCUAUGAGUAUGUGAUUUUUAACAGUGAAAAGCUUAGUAACCGGGCUCUUUCAUUAAGGAGAUGUUGGAGUUCGCGUCAAAAGGUUUAAACGGCUAAGAAUUAAGUGUAUUACCCUAGUUAAAAUGUGAAAAAUUUUAAGUGUGGGGGAAUUUAAAGAAAAAUAAAGAGAAAAAUAUGAAACAAAAAAGAAACAAAAUUAUGUGGAUAUAAUAAUGGUCUAUGGAUCCAUAUAGUUAUAUGUUUGAGAUUUUGUGUAAUAGUUGGGCCAUUUGUAAGAAAAUGCUUGUUAAAUAUUUUAUAUUCCUAAUUUAGUUAACCAGAGUUGAAAGUGUCGAUGAUGUUUAAAGGUAAUCGAAGAACCAUAACUUUGAUUUUCACUAUUAGCACUUGACACUUGUUUAGAAUGGUUGAUUUAAUAAUGGUAGUCUUGAAUAUAGCCAUUGUUUGGAUUUAAUAGAUUUUAUUCUUGUACUUGAGGACAAGCAUGGACUAAGUGUGGAGGAGUUUGAUAGGGUGUAAAUUGCAAUGUGUUUAUAGGUAAAAGUUGCUAGUAACCAUGUUAUUUGAGAUUUAUUUUGAACAUAAACCACUUAAUUUUGCUCGUAUAUUGUUCUAAUAGGUGAAAAGCUCAAUUCGAGGGAAAAUGAACCAAAAACAUGGCAUGAAGAAGUAAUGAAAGAGGAAAAAGUCAAGAGGCAUGGGUUUGGCAGGAUUGACAUGUUUCAGUAUUUUGGUGAUAACUUCACCUACACAAAUCCGAUUGAGAUGACUCUUGAUUCAAUUCGAAGCUACAAGAAUUCUCCACAACUUUUAUGAAGACAUCAAAGUCCAGUUCUCAAGUUUUCAUAGUCAAAAAUUCAAAUUAUUGAAGUAUAGUUGUGCAGCGAUGCUCUUACGACCAGGUCUUAGUAUUUUAGGCAUAUUUCAGUGCCCAGACUUCGAAAUGACUUGAGCACUUGCUUUUCUCAUCGUUUCUUUUCAGGCUUUCUAGGUCAGAGUAAUUAUCUUCUUUUUUUAGUUAAAUUACUUAACAAUAAUAUAUAAACUGAAAAUUUGAUAUACAUGUGUUCCAAUUGAUAAUUUGCUUUUGGGUAUGAUUUUAGAUGUCAACCCAUUUUAGGCUUUACUUAGGGUUUAGAAAAUUGGUUCACUUAGAGGCUAGUUCCUUCUAUUCCUUCAAUAUGUGAGCAUAUCUCAAGGACUAGCUUUUGUUAUCCUUGAUUCUCAUAUUUUGAUAACAAUAUUGGUGUCUAAAGUGAUUAUAUCUUGAUGAAUAAAAUUCCAACUUUUCAUUUUCUUUUUAGUCAUACAUUUUCAAUGGGUGUUUUGUUUGUGCUUAACUCCUAUUGUCUACUUUGUGUGCUUCUCGAUGAAACAGAUGUUUGUGUAUUUGGACAGCUGAUUCUUAGUGUUCAAUGAUUCUAAUAAUUUGACCGUUAAUAGUUCUGAUAUUUAAAUUGUAUGCAAACUUGGUGUACUUAAGAGUUUGAUUUGAGGGGGGUCAAAGGGGACUUUUCUGACACCACUUGUUGCCCUUAGGAUGAAAUUGAAAAUUCAUGAAAAAUUUUGGGUUAAAUGUGAAAUUUUGGAUAAGCUUUUGGAAAAAAUUUGAUAGAAUUUUCUCUUAUAAAUUAACGAAACUCCCUGCUAGCAAAUCCAAAUUUCAACAAAUUCAAACACAAAUAAUAUUCGAACAUCCAGUCCAAGUAAUCUAUGCAUUUUCAACAACACAAAACCACAUAUAACACAAGUUUAUCUCCCUCAAACUUAGAGUACACAUUGUCCUCAAUGUGUAAAAAGAAAAAUCAAGAUAAAGAAAGUAAUACUCCACUAUUAUAGUGAUUAAAAUGCAUACACAUGAAGUUUCACAAACCAUUCUCUGCAAUUCUACAAAUACUGCAAUUAUAUCAAAAUAGAAAACCUUAUGAGUUCCAUUUUUUAUCAUUAGUAAUGAAAAGAUUGAAAAAUAAAAACAGAAAACAACUACAAAGGUUCAAGUAAUGCAAAAGCAAUAAAGGCAUGAAGAAUCUUCACGAAUAAUGACUAGCCUUUGUCUUAUUAUUGUAUCUAUAUAAAAUAGACAAGAAACUAUUUAAGGUGCAAUUCCACACAUCACUUCUUAUGCAUCUAAACUCAUCACCCAAAAUACCUAGAGUAACAAUUACAAAGCAUAUGUCCUCAUGGAGGCAUUUACAAGAUCACCAUAUCAUAACUAUUUAGGAGCAAAGUCAAAAUAUGAAUAAUAUCCUAUACACAUAUUCAAUUUCAAUGCUUAAAAUGCCACACAAAUUGUUAAAUUUUCAAAUUUUCAAAAUUCAUUAUCCAAUCACUCUAUGUGAAGAAUAAGUAAUAAUUUGGUUCAUUACAACACUUAAACUUCCAUUUAAAUGCAUCAUUUUUCAAACUAGAUAAAAUAGCCAUUCUCCAAAGCUUACAAAUUCAAAAUUUCCAAAAUGUCAACAUAUAAUGAAUGUAUAUUUGUAAGCAUCAUAAACAAAUCAUAUUUCGGUUAUUUAAAUCAUCCAAACAUGCUUAAUAACAUUCCUCAACAACGGCAUCAAAAACUUAACGAGACUUUUACUUAACACCAAAUAUUUAAAACCAAAAUAAUAUAUUUUCUACAAAUAUAUAGAUCGUUAUAUUAGGUAUCAAUCUCAUGGGGAAGAUUGUCAACUACCGGUGGUAUUCGAACUACUUUAUUAUUUAGACUAUCACAAAUAAAAUAAGUAAAUCUAAACUAUUAUCUUGCAACAAAAGUAAUAAAAAUGACAAAAAUGAAACUCCAAGGGUAAUGGAAUUCCUAACUACUUUUGCAAGCAAAAAUUACUGGUUAAUUCAGUUUAUCAUCUUAGCUAAGCCAUAGCUGAUUUCAUAAUGCACAUGAUACUUGCUUUUGCUAGUGCACCAACCACACCUAUAACUAUCAUUCACCUACAUUUCAUGAUGAAGAAACUAGUUAUAGAUUCAUUAAAUUCUAUGAAAUUACAAGGUUCAAACGAUAAAGGUAAUUCCCUACUUUUGUGAGAAUACUCUCUAGAUUCAACACUUCCAUGAACUAGUAUUAUAUCAUAAUUUUCAUUGAUGAUACAACACCUUUAGAACUACAAUUUAUGUAUCUAUUGCACAUAUACAUUUAAAUGGACUAUAAAUUCAAAUUGUAAAUUGUGUACACAUUUGUAUUUUUUCAUGACUUGAUUUAAAAUAUUGCUUUAAAUAAGAACUUCUAACUAAUCUUGCUUUAAAUAUAUUACUAUUUUCAUCAAGCAGCUUUACAUUCCCUAUCCACAUUUUGAUGCCAAUCUAAUAACAAUCUAUCUUUAAUUUAUCUUUGUUAAUCUGGGCAACUUGAUGCACAGAGUCGGCCAUAGAAAUUAGUUUACUAUAAAUUUACAUUUGAAGCAGAGACAACUUAUAAUUUUGUUUCUUGUAUAUCAACAGUUUACAAUCUUUAGUCUCCUUAUAAUACUUUUACUUUUGUAUACAAUUUUACAAAUUUAUCACUCAUAUUUUUAAACAAAAUUUUCCUUAAGAAAGUUUACAACAAUUAUGAAGUAGCUACUAUAUUUCUCAUAUUCAUUAUAUAUUCAUUUUGACCUAUGGAAAUUUUAUUCUUGACUCAAUAUUUUUUGGUUUCAUAAACAUAUAUUAGGUUUUAUAUUUGUUUAAUUUUUUGUCAUUUAAUGCCUUUUGACUAAUGAAUUAAUAUCACUCAUCAAAUAUAUACAUAGGAAUACAUAUAAUAAUUAAUGUCCAUAUAUAUUUUACUGUGUUUUUUUUUAAGUGGGAGAUUUUGAAUCUAUAACCUCCUACUUACAACCUCCCACUUAUAUUCUCGCCCACCUUACCAUUCAACCAAUCCUUUGCCCCAUUUUACUGUAUUGUUUAUUUGUAGUUCAAAGUAAAUUUUCUUUUUUUUUUUCCUCCUAAGGGAGGAGUGUGACUUAAGAAGUAGGGAAGGAAUAGGGAGAUUUGCAAUGUAAAUUUUCUGGUUACUUUUUACAAGAUAUAAACUUUUCGGUAUAUAAAGUAUACGGGUUUUAUAAUAUAUACCACAUGAAUCAAUCAAUCAAGCAUCUUAAUUAAUAUGCUUUGCAACAAAACACAAUGAUGGAACCAAAGAUUUGAAUUGUUAAAAGAAUCCUUGUUGCAAAUUGUGGAGUGCAAUUGCAAUAAAAAUUUAUCAUAACUAUUCAAUGAUUUGGUAUAUUUUCACAAUAAAUGGUUUCAUCAUUAUCAAUCAAGGAAUGGAUUUUAUACCUUAACUUUGAGUCAAAAAUGUUCUUGGACUUUAGAUCAUGCUAAUCCCUUUUGUCAAAAAGUCAAUAUCCACUAAUUUGGUACUUACAGGAUUUUUCAUCUUCUUUUGAGGGGAUUGAUACUUGUGGUUUUAUCUUGAUUGAAUAAAUAACAAGUAGAACUUCGGAAAUCUAUUCAUGCUUCUGUUUAUUGUUUGAGCUAUGGGUAUGGAGAUCCUCCUCCCAUUGCUUGGUUGGAGACUCAAAUUAAUUACAGGGAUAGUGGUGCAAAGGUCUGAAUAUCAGUGCUUUUCCUUCCGUUCAAGGCAAUCUACUGAUUGUUUGCUAAGCAAAUUAUUCCCUCCAAAGAUAAAGUGAAGAGAAAAAGAUACUUGUAUCAAUUGAAAAUGAAAUUGGGUCCUACAAUUACCAAAAAUGUUUGGGUGCCAUUUUAGCAAAUAUUGAAAAGGUCAAUUUUGAUCAGCCAAACAAGGUUCAAAGUUUUGCUACUAUUUUUAUUUUCCUUUUUCAAGCCCAAAAAGUUGUUGUUUUGCCGAUGAAUUAAGUUGCUUCUGUGGCAUAAUCUUGACCGUUGAUAGGUUGACUUUUAAUCUUAGAUAUGAAAUCAUUGCAAAUGGAACUUGUGAGGCCCAGAUCACUCUGUUACUCAAUGUCUUUCUCUUGUCGGUAUUUGAUAACUAGAUAUAUUAUAUUGAUGAGCUCCUUCUUUAUUGUAGAGGGGAUGACUCCUAUUUAUACCAAUUAUCUUAUUUUCAAAGGUGUUGUAUACGGAGAGCUUCCAAGAAAUAACUUACCCAUACAAGAGAAGAUUAAACUCAAGCCACUAUUGUCCCUAACAUUGCCUAAAAUAUUGCACAAAAUUGCUAAGAUUACAAACAACUCUUUUAACAACUUUUGAAAGAAACCAGAGUUUUGUACACAAUCACAUUCACUCAAGCCUAAGGUGACAAAAGAAUUAAGCCACUUAUGAGCGCUUGCGAGUUGGUUUAGUCAAAGUUCAAUUUGAACUCAAUCAAGUUGACCUCAAGUCGACCAAGUCGAGCUAUCGAAGUCGAGCCAAGCGUAGAGAAAUUUAACUCAUUAGCUCGCGAGCCAACUCAAUAUAUAUAUAUAUAUAUGUAUGUAUGUAUGUAUGUAUGUGUACAUAUAUAUACACAUAUAUUAAUUUUAUUUUAAUAGUGAAAUUACAUAUAUGUCACUAAUAUUUUUAUUAUUUAUUAAGAAUAAAUGUCUAUUUUAUUCAAUGUUCAGAAAAAUAAAAUAAUUAUUUUUUAUUUUUUUAAACUCAAGUAGGUUCAAAAUCGAGCUCAACUAGGCUCAAAUUUGUGGCUAAACUCGAACUCGAGUUUUACAUUGAAACUCAUCAAGUUCAAACUCGAGUUCAAAUUUGGUAAACUUGAAUCGAGCUCGGCUCGAUUAAGCAAAAUCUCAACUCGACUCGAUACGUUUGCAAUCCUAUCAAGACUAUGCAAAAUUAGAUCACUAGAAAUAAAAAGGACUUAAGUUUUUAUAAGAACAAUAGUCAUUUGAAUUAACUUUCUAUUGGAUUUUGAGUAGGUUAGAAAUCCUUUUGCUUCAAAGAAUGUUUUGAAAGAAUGAACGCAGACAUCAAACUCUACUCACAAGGAAAACAUGGAAAGAAAUUUUCUUUACUAGUAAGAGUAUGUUGAUUUCAAUUGAAAGAUUGAAUAUGGACAACAUAAUGGACAAGUGAAAAAUUUUGAAUUCAGAAUCAACAAAAUCUAUUAUCAAUUUGAUGAGGGAAUUAGACUUGAUAUUUGACUACUAAAGAAGUUUGAGAGAAUCGUUAACCUUCGCCUAUGGUAAAAGUAUUUCUUUCUAGAACCUUUUUCUCCUUCUUCCCUUUAGAGCUCUUCCGGUCAAAAUCUCUUUCAUCUCUCCUAUGGGAGAGAGACUGUUGAUCUUAAUCUCUGUCUUUUGAUAUUUACAAAACAAAUGAAUAGUACUAAUAUCUCCUCAAAGAUCCUUUCAAUUAUGAAGUAAAUCAGGUUCAAAAAUCAAAUGCAAUUGAAAGAAAUAAAGCUUGCUAAAAACUGUCGGAUGCUUGUGAAGGCAAGAUCGAACGUCCGAUAAUCAUUGCGCAACUUCGGACGCAUGAAGAACUCCAUCACCGAACGUCCGAAGGAAAUAAGACAUUCUCCCUAACUCACUGAUCUCGAUCGGAAGCAAGCAUCAGACGUCCGAUAAGAUCCUUCAAAUUUGACGAAAACUGUCGGACGCUCAAAAGACAAUACCGGACGUCCGAUAGAAUUGAGAUAUUCCUUCUAAUUCAUUGUCUGCUUUCGGACGCAAGCACUGGACAUCCGAUAGAAUUAAAGAAUUUCUCUCAAACUUACUGCCUACUGUCGGACGCGAAAUUCAGACAGACCGGACAUCCGAUACCCCAAUAACUAGUUGACUGUUCAACUACUUUCUAUUCGUUGGAAGCAUUAAUGAAGCACUUUUUUGGUCUUGUAUAAAUAGUGCAUGUUCAGAAAUUUCAAAUAACUUUUGUAAACUGAAAAUACAAAAGAUCUAGAGUGAUUUUAAUGAAAAAAUACUCUUCAAAAAAGAUUUAUAGCCUUGGUGGUG